CCCUUAGAUGUCCUGGGCCGCACGCGCGCUACACUGAUGCAUUCAACGAGCUUAUAACCUUGGCCGAGAGGCCUGGGCAAUCUUGUUAACGUGCAUCGUGAUAGGGAUAGAUUAUUGAAAUUAUUAAUCUUGAACGAGGAAUUCCUAGUAAACGCAGAUCAUCAAUCUGCAUUGAUUACGUCCCUGCCCUUUGUACACACCGCCCGUCGCACCUACCGAUUGGAUGGUCCGGUGAAGCCUCGGGAUUGUGGUUCUUGCCGCUUUAUUGUGGCGUGACCGCGAGAACUUGUCUAAACCUUAUCAUCUAGAGGAAGGUGAAGUCGUAACA
rnacentral:rRNA from 1 species